GGGGCCGGCCCGCUGCGAGGGGCCGAGCCGUUUCCAGGAGCUCUACGGGGAGCGGCCGCUGCCCGCCGAGCGGGAGCUGCUCCGAAUCCCGCCCUGCGACUUGCUCGGGCUCCACGGGGAGCGGCCGCUGUUUCUCGGCCGGGAGGGGCCCCCCAGCCACUUCCAGGAGCUCUGUGGGGAGCAGCUGCCUCCGGCCGACCGGGAGGUGGUCAGGAUCCAGCCCUGCAGCUUCCAGCAGCUCCACAGGGAGCAGCAGCCCCCAGCCUACAACCCACCAGCCACUCCGGGCCAUUCAGCCUCCAGUGCUCCACCUGGCAGUGCCGCCUGUGCAGCAGCAUCAACGGCCUCAGCAGAGAGCGCACUUAAGGAAGAGGAAUCUCCACCGCUGGAUCUUGGCCUUGCUGUGGAGAAAAUGAUUCGGGAGAUCAGGAGAUCCCUGUCUGAGAAGUCUCCCUCUGCUCAGGUAACCCCACUGGAUGGGAAUAAAAGGGGCUGGACCGAGAGCUUUUUAACACUGUUCCGUGGCUCAGAAGCAAAAGCUGCUUCAGUUGAAUGUGUCUCUCUCUCUUAAUGUGCAGACCCAGUGCCUGCAGUACAUUUAUGCUUGAGGAAGGGCAGACUCAAGGUGGGGAGUGGGAUUUUUUGGAUUUACCAUUAUCUUAUGCUCAAAUGGGAUGUCUUUUGUGAUGAUGUAAAUUCACACAUAGCAGUGUUCAAAACAUUUUAUUCCACAAUAAUAGGAAACAUGGCAGGCUCUGAACCAUUUAGGAUUCUGAUGGAUGGGCUACUGCAGAAGGGAUGCAUAUUCUGCAACUGGUCCUAGUAAGAAUAUCUUUCUGUCUGAGCAACAUUUGCAGGUGCUUAAUCUUGAGCAUUUACUUCCUUGGUGGAAUAGAAGUAUUUGGUUGUCUUUUGAGUGGUUUGGUUUUUGGGUUUUUUUUGCUACUCUCUAGACUCAGAGAUUUUUGCCAGUGGAAAAUUUGAUUCUGGAAAUACCCUAGGUCCAUAAACGUUUGCCGGGGUCAUACAUAUGGGGCAGCAGCAGCAGAGGGCUCCAAAGAGCACCACCUUGUGAUGGAUUGUCUGAGUGCUUGGGUGGGGUAGUGAGACUCCCAGCCAGAAAUGUGUGCUUUGUGUGUGGCUUUGCAGCACACAGCUCUGGGCAGUGCUGGGAGCAAGCUCUGCCCUUACUGACAGCUGUGUUGGCAACAAGGAGAGCCCCUGGCUUUCUGCUGGCUAAUUUCUUACAGCUCAUGGGGUAAGCCAGGGUCAGAGCAUGAGGGCACAUCCCCUCAUUUGGU
rnacentral:lncRNA from 1 species